UCCCUGGUGGAGUACUGGUUAGGCCACAGACCUCUCACCGCUGUGGCCCGGGUCCGAUUCCCGGCCAGGGAA
rnacentral:tRNA from 1 species